UGGGGAAUUGCCUCCACCAGAUUGAUCUAGGGGCGAAUUCUCCUGAUUGAUGAUUGCUGUGGGAGGAUCCGGCUCACUGUGGAUGGUGUCCCUGGUUGUCCUGAGUUGCAAAUGAAAGCAAGCUGAGAAAUCCUUGAAAAACAACCCUGUAAGCAGUUUCUUGGUGGGCUCUGCUCCAGUUGCCGCCUGCUUUGAGCUCCUGCCUCGGCUUCCCGCAACGAUGAACUGAAACUUGCGAGGAUGUAAGCGUCCUGACCAUUGUGUCUGCUGCUACAAUUCCCCGCCAUGAUGGACUC
rnacentral:lncRNA from 1 species